AAGUAAUUAUUUUUUUUAAUAUAUUUGAUUUCUUCUCAAAAGCUCGUGGUUUAUAUCAACAAUUACUUA
rnacentral:tRNA from 1 species